UACAGAGGUCUCAAGCGUUGUUCGGAUUCAUUGGGCGUAAAGGGUGCGUAGGCGGGUCUUUAAGUCAGGGGUGAAAUCCUGGAGCUCAACUCCAGAACUGCCUUCGAUACUGGAGAGCUUGAGUCCGGGAGAGGUGAGUGGAACUGCGAGUGUAGAGGUGAAAUUCGUAGAUAUUCGCAAGAACACCAGUGGCGAAGGCGGCUCACUGGCCCGGUACUGACGCUGAGGCGCGAAAGCGUGGGGAGCAAACAGG
rnacentral:rRNA from 1 species